AUUCAAGCUGUCUCUCCGAGUUGCUGUGCCUAAAGAGGAAUCCAUGACAGGCGACCGGUAGACGAAAGUCUCGAGGGUGUGGGUGGAAACACCUGUGCCUCCCGUGCUUGGAAAGGAGGGAAAAUGGAUUUCGA
rnacentral:ncRNA from 2 species